UGUAGGAGUGAGCCUGCUCGCGAUAGCGUCCGUUUAGUUGAAAUCAAUGGUGACUGACAUUACGCCAUCGCGAGCAGGCUCACUCCUACA
rnacentral:antisense_RNA from 1 species